AGUUCGAUUAUGGCUCAGAUUGAACGCUGGCGGGAUGCUUUGCAUACCAGUCGUCGAACGGCAGCACGGACUUCGGUCUGGUGGCGAUGGCAGGAACGGGGUGAGUAAUGUAUCGGAACGUGCCUAGUAGCGGGGGAUAACUACGCGAAAGCGUAGCUAAUACACUCGCCCUUCAAGGGAAAGCGGGGGACCUUCGGGCCUCGCACUGGUAGAGCAGCCGAUAUCGGAUUAGCUAGUUGGUGGGGUAACGGCUCCGCAAGGCGACGAUCCGUAGCUGGUUUGAAGGACGACCAACCACACUGGGACUGAGGCAGCCCAGACUCUACAGGGAGGCAGCAGUGAAAUUUUUGGACAAUGGAAACCUGAUCCAGCCAUCCCGCGUGUGCGAUGAAGGCCUUCGGGUGUAAGCUUUUUGGCAGGAAAGAAACGGCACGGGAUAAUACCCCGUGCAACUGACGGUACCUGCAGAAUAAGCACCGGCUAACUACGUGCCAGCAGCCGCGGUAAUACGUAGGGUGCAAGCGUUAAUCGGAAUUACUGGGCGUAAAGCGUGCGCAGGCGGUUCGGAAAGAAAGAUGUGAAAUCCCAGAGCUUAACUUUGGAACUGCAUUUUUAACUACCGAGCUAGAGAGUGUGUCAGAGGAGGUGGAAUUCCGCGUGUAGCAGUGAAAUGCGUAGAUAUGCGGAGGAACACCGAUGGCGAAAACGGCCUCCGCAGGAUAACAUGACGCUCAUGCACGGCGUGGGAGCAGCAAGUUAGAUACCCUGGUAGUCCGCACCUAAACAAUCUUCUUUCAUUUGGGGCCUUCCGGGCCUUGGUGGCCACAGCUAACAACGUGAUUGACCGCCGCAAGGAGUACAGUCGCAAGAUUAAACUCAAGGAAUUGACGGGGGACCCGCACAAGCGGUGGAUGAUGUGGAUUAAUUCGAUGCAACGCGAAAAAACCUUACCUACCCUUGACAUGUCUGGAAUCGAAGAGAGAUUUGGGAGUGCUCGCAAGAGAACCGGAACACAGGUGCUGCAUGGCUGUCGUCAGCUCGUGUCGUGAGAUGUUGGGUUAAGUCCCGCAGCGAGCGCAACCCUUGUCGUUAGUUGCUACGAAAGGGCACUCUAAUGAGACUGCCGGUGACAAACCGGAGGAAGGUGGGGAUGACGUCAAGUCCUCAUAGCCCCAUAUGGGUGAGACUUCACACGUCAUACAAUGGUCGGGACAGAGGGUCGCCAACCGCGAGGGGAGCCAAUCCCAGAAACCCGAUCGUAGUCCGGAUCACAGUCUGCAACUCGACUGCGUAGUCAGAUAAGUAAUCGCGGAUCAGCAUGUCGCGGUGAAUACGUUCCGGUCUUGUACACACCGCCCGUCACACCAUGGGAGUGGGUUUUACCAGAAGUAGUUAGCCUAACCGUAGGAGGGCGAUUACGGUAGGAUUCAUGACUGGGGUGAAGUCGUAACAAAGGUAA
rnacentral:rRNA from 1 species